AUGGGCCCUGUCAUUCCAGAGGUAUCGGUCAUCUCAGCCAGACAAGAUCAUCAUGGAGGCCACGUGGAGCACAUCCUUGGGGCCUCUUGUGCCCUGCAGAGCUUCUGGGGAGAAGUACAGACUGAUUACGCACACUGGCUGUGGCACUCCGUCCACCUGGGGCUCUGUGACCUGCCAGGGACCUCUUGGUCUCCAGGAGCACAUCCAGGCCGGAAUGGGCUCCUGAUGCAUUCCCACUGCCAGCUGGGCCUUGCCCCAGCCCCAGACCACGGACCACACCUCAGCCUGACCCUCUGAAACCAGAGCAGGCCUCAUUCGCCUGACUUCUCUGGGGAGCUGGAGGUAGGUGGCCAGGACGGAGCUGGCAGUCCCUGGGGAAGAUGCCCCAACUUCCCUCCCGUUACUCCCUGGCCAGCAGGUCCUCACUGCCUGGGCGGCCCCGCCAUCUAGUGCCACCUGAGGAACUGCAGACCAGCACCCUGAAUGGGACCAGAGUGUCACUCUGGGUAGGGUGAACACCUGCUGAACCCCAGGCCUGGCCCUGGCCCCGAGAUAAAGCAGCUCCUCCACCGCCCCAACACCCAACCCUUCCUACAACAGAGAGGCAGCGGCUGGGCUGCCCAAGUUUGAAUCCCAGACCAGCUGCCUCCUGGUACCUGAGUUUCCUCCCCUUUAAAAUGGGUAUAAUAAUUGCACUGGCCCUAUCUCCCAUGGGGUUAAUAUUGCAAAGAUUAAAUAUGUUCAUAGGCAAAGAUCGCUUAGACCAGUGCUUGACAGAAAACAGCCACUAUGUGAGUAUUUGCUGUCAUUAGCCAUUAUUGGCCUCCUCUCUUCCCCUUCCUGCCUUCUAGCAGCCCUGGAAAGUAGGAAGGGGCAGAGUUGGCCUCCAGUGCCUACUCUGCCCCGACCUGGCCAGGUGAUCCCAGUGAGGAACCGCUCUGAACAUCUGUUUCCUCAUCUUGGAUCAGGUAUUUCACAGGGUGUUUUUGGGAGGUCUGGAUACCAGUUCCCACUGCCUGCAUAGCCAAGGCACAUGACAUAGCAGGUGCUCUCUCGGCGUUUCCAUCCAGCUCCUCUGUCUCCCUGGCCGGGUGAACUUGACCUUGUGAGGUUCCUUUGCUGAGCCUGUCUUCCCCUCUGUCAAAUGGGAACAUCUACCAUCUCCCUUGCAGAAUCGUUAGGAGGAAAACAGACAUUGGUACAAAAUCUGUACAUAGCAGGUGCUUG
rnacentral:lncRNA from 13 species